AGAAAAUUAGUUAAAGUAUAACGUAAGGAUGUCAAUCUUAAAUUAUUAAAAAUUAAUAUUUUCUU
rnacentral:tRNA from 1 species